rnacentral:lncRNA from 1 species
CUCAUACUCUCCACCUUGUGAAGGAGCCUGCUUCCCCUUCUGCCAUGAUCAUAAGUUUCCUGAGGCCUCCCCAGCCAUGCAGAGCUUUCCUUCCCACGCUCACACUCUCUCCUACUGCCUUGUGAAGAAGGUGACUGCUUCCCCUUCUGCCAUGAUUGUAACUUUGCUGAGGCCUCCCCAGCUAUGCAGAACUUGCCUCCAGAAAACAACGCAGCUCUGCGACCCCUGAUCUCAGCCUCAUGGAAUACUGGGCAGAGAAUCCAGUCACAGCUUGCCUACACUUCUGCCCUACAAACUGGAAGCUGAUAAAUUUGUUUCAUUUUAAACUGUUAUGUUUGUGGUUAUCUAUUACACAGCAAUAUGGGCUUAUUCCAAACAGGCUGUAUGAAUUCAGGUCCCUGACCAAAUCUGGUUGACUGUAAAAAUGAAAAAGGACAACCUGAGUGCCUUACCUUACGUAAAUAUUUCCUAACUCCUGCCCUGUGUCUGUGGCAGACACCCUGCUCCGCUGAGUUUGGGUGCUAUUACUCCGGAAAAUCUAGUCAUCUGCAGAAACCAUUUCAGCUACCUUCUGUCCUGGGAUACACUGUAACAAACCAUUU